rnacentral:rRNA from 1 species
UACGUAGGGUGCAAGCGUUGUCCGGAAUUAUUGGGCGUAAAGAGCUCGUAGGUGGUUUGUCGCGUUGUUCGUGAAAACUCACAGCUCAACUGUGGGCGUGCGGGCGAUACGGGCAGACUAGAGUACUGCAGGGGAGACUGGACUUCCUGGUGUAGCGGUGGAAUGCGCAGAUAUCAGGAGGAACACCGGUGGCGAAGGCGGGUCUCUGGGCAGUAACUGACGCUGAGGAGCGAAAGCGUGGGGAGCGAACAGG